rnacentral:rRNA from 1 species
CCUACGGGUGGCAGCAGUGAGGAAUAUUGGUCAAUGGGCGAGAGCCUGAACCAGCCAAGUCGCGUGAAGGAUGACGGCCCUACGGGUUGUAAACUUCAUUUGUCAGGGAGCAAUUGGGUCCACGCGUGGGCUUAGCGAGAGCAACUGAAGAAAAAGCAUCGGCUAAUUCCGUGCCGGCAGCCGCGGUAAUACGGAGGAUGCGAGCGUUAUCCGGAUUUAUUGGGUUAAAGGGGUGCGUAGGAGGAAUAUCAAGUCAGCGGUAAAAAUUCGGGGCUCAACCCCGUCGUGCCGUUGAAACUGUUGUUCUUGAGUGGGUGAGAAGUAUGCGGAAUGCGUGGUGUAGCGGUGAAAUGCAUAGAUAUCACGCAGAACUCCGAUUGCGAAGGCAGCAUACCGGCGCCCAACUGACGCUGAGGCACGAAAGCGUGGGUAUCGAACAGGAUUAGAUACCCUGGUAGUC